ensembl:lncRNA
AGAAUUGCCCAUCUGUGAGCAGAACAAACACUCGGCCACGUUUGUGAGCUCACAUACUGGAGAUGAUUCACUCGUAAUGACUUUCAGAGGGAAAAUUACGUGAGUAAUCCUUUGAGAAAGAAGGACUGGAGGAGGACACAAAGCACACAAAUCAACCCCCAGAAGCAUCACGACAUCCCCCUGUGAUCCACUUUGCAAAGAGGAAAUCACUCCAGGUCAGCUUCUGCACAGCCCACUCAUUCAGCCAAGACAAGCAAGCUGCUGGAGCAAGUAACUGAAGAGUAAUAUGAUAAAAACACAGCAUUAGUGCUAACAGCCUCUACAGAUCAGCUCCUGAAGGAGACGUGCUCAGAGUGCUGCACAUUCCCCACUUGCUGUUUUUUCUUGCUACAGAGAUUUGCUGAAGAUUUGAGCCCUAAUCAGUGCAGUGUAACGGUACCUACAACGUUUGUAUUUGUAUGCUGAUCUGCUGUGGUUAGAUGUAGGCUUUGGCUCCCGGGGGAACCCACAGCACAGUUUGAUCAUCCCUGUUCCAAAGGAAGAUAACACAGACAGCUGCUGUUUCAAAGGACACUUUGUGCACAUUGCUCGAGCAGUCACGUGUGAAGCAGAGCAGAGACUUCCUUGAGUUCAGGAUCCUCCAUCUCUCCAGCCCCGCAUGGCAGCACUGUGCCCAACUCCCACGGGCUCACCCAAACGGGUCCCUCCCAUCUCUGCACGCUAUGGUGAAGUUACCAGGAAGAUGAAGCACAGCGGAAUCCAGGCAGGGAUUAACCAACACUUUGUGUUCUGGAAUGAUUACUCAGACGUUUACAGGAGCUUUGAGUCCCAUCUCCCACACCCCUCUGCAAAACAUGACCUGCCAGUGAGCCCCUGCUAUUUCCUCUGAGCCAAAGCUGCUCUUACAACCAAUGGAAAUUCUGCCACAGUGGAGAACAGCAAAUGAAUAAAAAGAGAAGGAAAGUGGAGGGCGGAGAGGGACCCGGGAUCUCACCUGAUUGCAAUUGUUGUCCCCAACACAGCACGGUGAUUUCCCACCACUUACAAUUCAAAGAAACUCCUAAUGCAAUUCCACUGCUAAAGCUGGUACUUAAUAACACAAAGACUCCCUGAUGCCGUUAGCACAGCUGGACUGCCAGUUCUGAAAUGUCAGCUUUCUUCCCUGUGCUGCAGAAGCUCUACUGUUAAUUUUGACAUCUGUUUUUUAGUGAGAUGUAUUUCUUGCAGAGCAAAUGCACACUGACAAAUCUGGGGCCCUCUGUGUAUUUUGGUAAAUUGCAAUCCAUUAUGAAUAUAUAUCCUCCU